UCCUUUUCUUUUCUAUUUCCUUUUUCUUUCUUUUCCCUAUUUCCUUCUUCCUCCCCGUGCGUCCUUCCCCUUCUCCCCAGCCGCAACCGCCGCGCCUCUUCUCCUUCCUCCCGUACGCCGCGACGACUCCACCGUCUCCUUCUCCCUUCCCUUCCGUUUCCUUUCCGCCGCAGCCCAGCCGCAGCCAGCCGUCUUUCUCUUCCGUUUUCUUCCCGCCGCAGCCUAGCCGUAGCCCGCGAUCUGCCGUAUCCAUCUCCGGUUCGCGAAGCAACCUUGCAUCAGUCGUCCCGCGCGCCGAUCUGCUGUCUCCAUCGCCGGUUCUGUCUUCGUCGAAGCCCGAGCUGCCGUGUGAACCAGUAACCGCCACGUUCGCCGCUCACAACCGCCGUGAAGCCAGCCGCGCAACCUUCGUUCCAACCGCUGCACUGCCGCGCGAUUCUCCGGCCACGUCUUCUUUAGCCGACCGCUGACCGACCCACACUUAGGAUUUUGCUGCGAGUUCGACAGUCGUGCGUUGAGUGUUGGGAGUAACCUUGGGCUCCCUUAAAUUCACAACCAAAUUGUGAAUUGUUGAGGGUUCAGUUCGCCAAUAUUUCGGAUUUGAUUCAUUGGAUUUAGUCGAUUGAAGAAUUUGCAUAGAAAUCGAGGUAAGGGAUUUUCUACUGGACUCAAUUGUGAUUGUGAACUGUAUGUGUGUUGAAUGUAUACUGUGGUUUGACUGAAAAUAUAUAUGAAUGCAUGUGAAUUGAAGUAGACAUAACGUCGAAUGUAUAUCGUGAAUGUCAUGGAAGAUAUAUAUAAGUGUGUGUAUGUUGACAGGACAAAGAUUGUAGAUUGUGUUGGUUGGUAUGAGAUAUAGAUAUGAACUUGUGAUUCUCGUUUAGAUUGGGUGUACGAUUACGCUAAAGUAUGAUUGGGUUAAUAAGGAUUGGCCUGUUUCUUGUUUGUUGUUUUUUCUUAGUAAUGGUAGUGUGUGAAAGGGAAUUUGAUAACUCUAUAUAUUGUUUAAUUAUGGUUUUGAAUUCUGUUUUGUGUCUUUAAAAGGACGUUGAACUUCAAAAUCGUUUUAAUAGGGUCCUUGAACUUUGAUUUUUUCUUUAGGGGAAGAGGUGUGUAAGGGAUUUUGAUUUUAGUCAUUGAAUGCCAGUGUGUAGCACCCACCUCUAGGUGACGGAUUUUCAGCAGCCACCGUCGCCCUCUUCCAAUUUUGUUUUCGACAACCCUCUCUAUUCUAUGUUGCUGUUUCCAAUGGGGUUGUAUUAUCUUCUGGAGUAUACAUGUUGGAUUUGUUGUAGAUGUAGCCAUGGUUGCUUCCUCCUUCGUUGCUUAUUCUUAACUUCAUGUAACUUAUAGCCAUCUAAUUCGUUUCUUCUUCCUAUUUUUUCUCCUCUUCUAAUGGCAUCUUUCAUUCUCUACAUCCAACUUGCGCAACCGUGAUAUAUUCUCCAAGGUAAGUAUCUCUUUAAUGGACGUCAAAAGACUGCAUCUUGAAAAAUGAUUUCAUCCAAGAUAUAUUCAUAUGGGCUUUUUUAUUCCUUUGAAAGAAUGUCAUUCAUAUAUUACACAUCCUUAUACCUGAGUUUACAAGGUUGUUAUAGUACUUUCGCGUUUCAUGAGUGAAAAGAUAGAAUCAAGUUGCGGAAUUACGUUCAUUUUUAGAGCUCUUAAGUGAUUGAAGAUAGUUGAUGUAUAUUUAUUUUCUCAAAAGUCACAUUUUUUGCAAGUUUGGUUUACUUUGGAUUUAUUAAAGAUAAUACCAGUUCACUUAUUGAUUCCAUUCAUUCCCGAAAAAAUUCUUUAAAAAAAUUUAGUUUAACACCAAGAAUCGCUUUGAGGAUUUAUCUCCUUAAGGGUUGUCGGAACCAUAUACUGAACAUCUACAAUACGUUUGAUCAUAGUUAACUUUACAAUGAUCUAGUUGAUAGUCUUCCUAUUUGUUGAGCUUCUCUUUUAGAUUGAAGGAAAGGGAAAGACUUGGCUAGGUUGUGGCAAGCAAACUUCUUCGCUAUUAUGUGGAGAAAUUUAGAGGGGAGGCUAGGGAGUUAGAGAGUUUUUUUGGAAAAAAAAAAAAGAGACGGGACUUUACAUUAAGAGAAUGAAAAAAAAGACCAAUGUUCAAAGAAGUGAAAAAGAGCAACAUAGCACAAAAAAAAAGACAUAGGAACAUAAUGCAAAAAGUAAGCUAGAGAGGUGAUAAGGAUAAUUAGUAUAUUUUAGUUAAUUGGUUAAUUGUCUUAUUUUCCUGUAAGGCUAUAGAUAGCCAAUUUAGAGUGUAUUUGAACCUCUUGAAUAUCUUUCCAAUAUAGAACGUUGUUCUUGGAGAGCUUUUUCUCAUCUCUAAGGAAUGAGAUUUCUCUUGUUCCAGAAUGGAUUUGGCAUGGUACUCCAACCUGCUGCAUCAAGAGGUUUAAUUAUUCAGUUUGGGCAUUGAUCACUAGGACUUUUUGUAAUUGUGAUAAUGAUCUUGUUCUUUUUUAUUAGAUUGUUUUAUGUGAUUAGUCAUUGACUCCUUUUUAUGAGUAUUACGUCUUUUUUUUGUUUUUCUUAUUGCAAUUUGGUUUUGGUAUUUCUGUUGUAUGUCUUUUUAUUAUUAUUAUUGCAAUUUGGUUUUGGUAUUUCUGUUAUGAAUAGAGUUUUGUUUGCCCUUGGUUCUUUUAUUUUUUCAAUAAACGUUCGGUUGCUUAAAUAAAAUGGUUCUCUGGACAGAAGUGAAUUGUGAGUUUACUGAAUUUGGUAAAUUUAGAAGCAUUCCUCUGUGCAUCCUCUAGUAGAUUUUGGAUUUUCCUCUUCCACUGGAAUGGAAUUGGACCGAGAAAAGUUAAUGUGUUCCAGUUAUUUUACGGUGCUGGCACUUACAUGUUUGGAAUUGAUGAUGAACGAAUAAUUGAUGCUACAAGGGCUGGAAGCAUUGCUCAUUUGAUCAACCACUCUUUCGAAUAACUGUUGCUCCUCACAGAAGUGUUCAAGGAUAAAUAAAGGUUCAUAUUAGAAGUGGACGUCCAUUAGUUUUGGUAUGUAUGUAAAUUAUUUUAAAUCUAAGUAUCUGAUUUCCUAAUAGUUGAAAACCUUAGUUUAUUGACAAGAAAUCAAAUGGUUACUUCUGAAGUUGGUUGAUUGUAUUUGGUUAUGUCUACUAAUGAGAAUGACUUUACCUUAAGGGGAUAGACUUUAGUUUUGGUAUCUCCAAUUGAGAAUUUAGCCAUUGUGCUUACUCUUUAUGGAGUAUCUAAAGACAAGAAAUCGACACUCCAAUGCUAUGAAAAUUUUCCUAUAAGCUGAUGAUAUGUGGGGAAGAUAUUCAUAGUUCAUCUUUAUUGGCGAUGAUUGCAUAAUACAAACUGUUUAACUCUAAGGAUUACAAAUUGUCGUACAUGUAUUGUCGUAGGCUGUUUUGUUCUAAGGACUAGGAACAACCCAAGAAGUUGUUCAAUUUGCAGUGGCCAUUUGGUUGGACGUUCUUCUUCUCCUUGAUCUCUUUCUCCUCUUCUUAGGAACUUCAUUUUCAUUAUCAGAUUUGAAGAGGGACCACCAUGAGUGGGGUAGUAAAAUGAAUAGAGAAUGGGAGAG